rnacentral:rRNA from 1 species
GACGAACGCUGGCGGCGUGCCUAAUACAUGCAAGUAGAACGCUGAAGGAGGAGCUUGCUUCUCUGGCUGAGUUGCGAACGGGUGAGUAACGCGUAGGUAACCUGCCUUGUAGCGGGGGAUAACUAUUGGAAACGAUAGCUAAUACCGCAUAAGAGAAGAUGUUGCAUGACAUUUGCUUAAAAGGUGCAAUUGCAUCACUACCAGAUGGACCUGCGUUGUAUUAGCUAGUUGGUGGGGUAACGGCUCACCAAGGCGACGAUACAUAGCCGACCUGAGAGGGUGAUCGGCCACACUGGGACUGAGACACGGCCCAGACUCCUACGGGAGGCAGCAGUAGGGAAUAUUCGGCAAUGGGCGGAAGUCUGACCGAGCAACGCCGCGUGAGUGAAGAAGGUUUUCGGAUCGUAAAGCUCUGUUGUAAGAGAAGAACGGGUGUGAGAGUGGAAAGUUCUCACUGUAACGGUAUCUUACCAGAAAGGGACGGCUAACUACGU